GUGAGGAAUAUUGCGCAAUGGAGGCAACUCUGACGCAGCCAUGCCGCGUGCAGGAAGAAGGCGCUACGCGUUGUAAACUGCUUUUAACCGGGAAGAAACCCCAGGACGUGUCCUGGGUUGACGGUACCGGAGGAAUAAGCACCGGCUAACUUCGUGCCAGCAGCCGCGGUAAUACGAAGGGUGCAAGCGUUAUCCGGAUUCAUUGGGUUUAAAGGGUGCGUAGGCGGAGCGUUAAGUCAGUGGUGAAAUCCUGCAGCUUAACUGUAGACUUGCCAUUGAUACUGGCGCUCUUGAGUGCGCUUGAAGUGGGCGGAAUGUGCUGUGUAGCGGUGAAAUGCUUAGAUAUGGCACAGAACACCAAUUGCGAAGGCAGCUCACUAAGGCGAUACUGACGCUGAGGCACGAAAGCGUGGGGAUCGAACAGGAUUAGAAACCCCUGUAGUCC
rnacentral:rRNA from 1 species